UGGGGUGUAAGGCAUAACUUUAUCUUCAUUCCAGAAGAUGUGGAGGGGAGGGGUUGGAGGAGUUUGACAGAUGUGAUGAAGGACCUUAUCUCGGAGGAAAAAGGUGUGAAACAUUAUGGAGGUGGGAUUCUACAGAGGUUAUCGGUGAUGAAGUUCAAUACGCAGCAUCAUUCGUAUAGGGAGGCGUUGGUGCAGUCCAGGGAACAACUUAGGGGUGGAGGCAUUGGCGGUAGGGUAACUCUUGGUAAUGACCAGAAGUCAAUAAUGAUUCCUAAGCCCUCGGGUACAGUAUGUAUGUAGAGGGAAGGAGGCGUUGGCAAGUCCUUUGAUGGCUUGUCGAAGAGAGGCAUGCACACUACCUUACAAAAAAUGCAAACACGGGUGGAGGCACUGCAGGAGCAAAUUAGUUUAUUGAUCUGGUGCGUACAGGAAGAUGAGGAGGUGGGCUUGGGCUUGGGGGCACAGGGAUGUGGGCAACCUGAAGAUGUGGGCUUGUUGGAUGGAAAGGGCCGAAUUGAAGGGCUAAGGGCUAGUUUUGUGGGCCACAGCCCACGGGGCUCAACAAGGGCAAAUCCAAAGCAGGAGCCCAGCCCGUUUGGAGAAUCAGGGAAGGAGGAGAGGCUGGCCCAUCUACCAGCAGGAGGAUGCAGGGUGCACCAACGGAGAAGAUCCCAAUAGGUUCGUCUCUCGCCGAGAAGCUGUCAACAAUGAGUAACCAGGUGGAGACGAUGGUGCUGGAAGAGGUCGAAUCUGUUCCUAUGGCUGUUGCACAGUUGAUUGUCGAUACUCAGUCCCAACAAGGACAGACAAAGUCGACAGACAGAGGUGGAGAGCCACCUCUCGAGAUACAGCUGGCAGCUUCGUCAGCGAGUGACUUUUACCCACUAGAUGUAGCAUGUGUGCCAUUUUCAAAGUCUAUGGGGCCUUCAAGGAUGCUAGUUGUUACAAGGGACUCCUCUUAAGUGGGGGGAAAGGCCUAUCUGUAUAAAGAUAAAAGUGCCAAUGAAGACACAGUGGGCACCCAAGGAUGCGAUUGACAAGAAGGGGGACCCGAUUCCGCUACAAUACCUGCUGCCAAAUCAGUCCAGUGUUUCCGACUGGGUGUUGCAUAAGGUAAAGGAAAUCCAACAUUGUGUAGGAAUUGAGUGAAGGUUUUGAGGAACAAUUUAUGGCUUUACUAACAACCAUUGAAGUGGGACAUGGUCUGUUAAAGAAAUCAGAUUCCAAAAAACAGUGGGAACUAAAGAGGCUAACGUGGUCUCUAAAUUAUGAAGGUAGCUCAAGCUCUAGUAGAGAAAGCUAAGGGGAGGGGACAAGCUCCACAUUUAUGAAUCCCAAAAUAGUAUCUUGGAAUGUCCGAGGGCUUAACGCGGCAAGUAAGCGCCUUCGGGUGAAAAACCUACUUCAUGAGUGGAAGGCGGACAUUGUGUGUUUACAAGAAACUAAACUGAAAUUUAUCACAAGGAAGAUUGUUCAUUGUUUCCGACUGGGUGUUGCAUAAGGUAAAGGAAAUCCAGAGUUUAUGGAGUUGUACAUAUGUGGAUUGGGCCUAUCUUGCUUCUGAUGGGGCAUCGGGAGGUGUUUUGGUGAUGUGGGAUAGAAGGGUGGUGGAUAAGUUAGAGGAGUUUAUUGGGGAGUAUACAGUGACAUGUUCUUUUUAGAGUAUAGAUGAUAAUUUUGUAUGAGCCUUUACUGGCGUUUACGGGCCAAACCUAGACAGCAGUAGAAGAUUAUUAUGGGAAGAACUUGCUGGAAUCCAUAGCUGGUGGAAUUUACCAUGGUGCAUAGGUGGUGAUUUCAACAUUAUACGUUUCCAAGCGAGCGUUCAGGAGACAGCAGGAUGCGAUCGGCAAUGGCAAAAUUCUUGGAGUGUAUUUUUUACUUGGGUUUGGUGGAUAUCCCCCUCAUGGGAGGUGCUUAUACGUGGUCCAAUAAUCACACGUGGUCUAGAUUGGAUAGAUUCUUAGUCUCAUUGGAGUGGGAAACACACUAUCUGGACCUUUGCCAAAAAAGGUUGCCUUGCCUUUGUUCGGAUCAUUUUCCACUAUUACUAGAUUGUGAGGGCAUUCAACGAGGGCGUUGGUAUUUUAAAUUUGAGAAUAUGUGGUUGAAAACUGAAGGUUUUUCGGAAAGGGUACGGCAAUGGUGGUCUUCGUAUUAGAUCCAUGGUACCCCAAGUUUUAUUUUCGUAGGUAAACUGAAAGCUCUAAAGCAUGAUUUAAAAUUAUGGAACACUCAAUCAUUUGGUGAUGUAGGUGACCGUAAAAAGUCCAUGUUGGAGGAGCUUCAGGAGGUAGAGAGGACACAAGAGGGUGGGGCUCUCUCCUUGGAGGAAGUUUCUCGGAAGGCUAAAUUAGUGACAAAGCUAGAUAGGGUUAUGUAAUUGGAAGAGAUCUCUUGGCGCCCAAAAAUCAAGAGCAUUGUGGCUGAAAGAAUGAGACCUAAGUACAAAGUUCUUUCAUAGAGUGGCCAACUCUCAUAGGAGAACUAAUAACAUUGAGAUGUUGAAAAAAGAUGGCAGGGACUGUGUGGAGGCUCCUGUGAUUAGGGAGCAUGUUACUGACUUUUGAACAAUUGCUUUGUGAGCAGGUGGGAUGGUGGCCAAAACUUGAUGGACUAGCUUUUGAGUCCAUUGAUACACAGCAAGCCUCGUGGUUGGAGAGGCCCUUUGAGGAGACGGAGGUUCACAGCAUGGUAAGGAGAAUGGUCAAAGAUGAAGCAUCUGGCCCAGAUGGUUUUUCCAUGGGAUUUGUUCAGGCUUGUUGGGAUGUGGUGAGGGAGGAUUUAAUGAGUGUUACAUGAAUUCUUUUCGGUUGGGAAGUUUGAGAAAAUCCUUAACGCCACAUUUAUCGCACUUAUUCCCAAGAAGCUUGGGAUAUCAGAGGUGAAGGAUUAUCGGCCCAUUAGCCUCGUGAAUGGGGUGUAUAAAAUCUUAUCGAAGGUGCUCACAAAUCACCUAGGGGAGGCUCUGGGGAGAAUCAUUACAAAACCCCAAAAUGCAUUUGUGAAAGGUAGACAAAUUAUAGAUUUAGUUCUCAUUGCCAACGAAUGUCUGGACAACAGACUAAAAUCUGAAUAGUCGGUGAUUCUAUGCAAAUUAGAUAUGGAGAAGGCGUACGAUCAUGUUAAUUGAGAGUUCCUACUUUAUUUGCUUGGGAGGCGUGGAUUUGGGGAGAAAUGGUGCUCUUGGAUUAGAUGGUGUAUCUCAAUAGCGAAGUUUUCAGUCUUGGUGAAUGGCGGCCCAAAUGUUUUCUUUAACAGCUCCUGAGGUGUAAGACAAUGAGAUCCUUUAUCCCCACUUAUAUUUGUCAUUGUUAUGGAGGCGCUUAACAGAAUGAUUCUAGCCUUGGUGAACAAUGGAUUUAUUGAUGGCUUAUUGGUUGGUAAUCCUACUAGGGGCUCCGUUAUUAUAUCUCACUUAUUGUUAGCAGAUGAUACAUUGAUCUUUUGUGAGGCAGAACAAAACCAAAUUCAAGCAUUGAAGGCAUUAUUACUCUGUUUUGAAGCGGUAUUAGGGUUGAAAGUGAAUUGUCAUAAAUCAGAGUUGGUUCCAGUGGGUAAUGCUCGCAAUAUCCAGCAGUUGGCUAAUACCCUUGGAUGUAAGGUUUCCUCUCUCCCCAUGAAUUACCUUGGUCUUCCCUUGGGGGCAGCUGCAAGGUCUUUAUCGAUUUGGGAUACAAUGAUUGAGAAGAUUGAACGCACAUUGACAGGUUGGAAAAGAUUGUAUCUUUCAAAAGGUGGUAGGAUCACUCUAAUCAAAAGUACUCUUCUAAUCUGCCAACUUACUUUUUAUCUGUAUUCCCAAUCCCAGCUAGUGUGGUGAAACGCAUCGAGAAACUUUAUCGUGAUUUUCUGUGGAGUGGGUUAGGAGAUGAAUUCAAGUUUCACCUAGUUAAAUGGGAUAAGGUUUGCUCCCUAGUCUCCUCCGAUGGGUUGGGUAUCAGAAAGUUGAAGACCUUCAAUUGAGCCUUUCUUGGGAAGUGGAUGUGGAGAUACAUCAUGGAACCAAAGGCUUUAUGGAAGUCGGUGAUUGAUCUUAAAUAUGGAGGUAUGUCGGGGGGGUGGGGGGGUGGUGCACUAGAGAAGUUUAUGGGGCUUAUGGAGUUGGAAUUUGGUAACACAUUAGAGGGUGGGGGAUUUUUGUUAGGCACACUCGGCUGGUGUUGGGUAAUGGGUCUAGAAUAAAUUUUGGACUGACCGGUGGUGUGGAGAUCAUGCUCUAAAUGAUUCUUUCCCUUCAAUUUUUAGAAUUGCACGUGAGAAAGAUGCAUCAGUGGCUGAUUGUAUGGAGUUCUUUGGGGACCUAGUCCAAUGGAACGUGAAUUUCACCAAGGCGGCCCAAGAUUGAGAAGUUGGCAGCAUUGAGGAGUUUUUUGGUCUUCUAUACAUAGUGAUACUGAGAACACAAGGCACUGACACGAUAUGGUGGUUACCCACCGGUAAAGGUAUAUUUUCAGUUUGCUCUUUUUAUAAGACCCUCACACAACCACUGAACACUGAGUUCCUAGGGAGAAGGAUUUGGUGAAAUAAGGUGUCUCCUAAAGCGGCAUUUUUUGUAUGGGCAGCAACAUUGGGUAAGAUCUUGACUUUGGACAAUUUACAGAAACGAAGGGUGAUCAUAGUAGAGUGGUGUUGCAUGUGUAGGAAAAAUGGUGAAACUGUGGAUCACUUGCUGUUGCAUUGAGGUCGCUAGAACGUUAUAGAAUGAAGUGUUCAACAGGUUAGGUCUUGCUUGGGUGAUGUCUGCCACAGUGAUUGAGCUCUUGGCCAGCUGGGCCAAUUUAUGAGGUCGCCCACAAAUCUCAGCGGUGUGGAAAAUGGUUCUGAUAUGUAUUCUAUGAUAUGACCGGACGUUUGAAGACAAUGAGCAUUCUUUGGAAGAACUUAGAUUAUUUUUUGUCAACACUUUGUUUCUAUGGGCCACAGCUGUGGAUUUUUGUGGCCUCAAUUUUCAUGAUUUUCUAGUCUCUAUUUCCUCUUCCUAAAUAGGUGUUCCUUUUGCAUACUUCUUGUGUACUUGGGCUAUGUCUAUUUAUAUCAAUAUAAUCGUUUACUUAUAAAAAUAUAUAUAUAUAUAUAUGUUAUUAUUUUUACACUAUCUGCACUGAUUAUGAACUUGCAGCUACUAUGAGUGUAUUAUACUGUUAUGGAUUAGGUUUUAUUUUCUUACUUAUACUGGUGCUUUAGGAGCUCAGGCCUAACUUGGGGCAUAACUGGUCUUGCAAGUUAGUUUCUCAGUAUGCCGCUAGUCUUAUGAACUAACAGCUUAGAACUUAUAUCCUAUUAUCUAGGAUACAGAUCUCCUGAUGUGGGCUGUGUUCACCCCCUGCUCAAUUGACGUUUUCUAGAUCUUUAUGUGCACAAAUAGCAUUGAAAUGUUAAUGUUGUGAUCGAUCGGGAUGCAGCUUAGUGGUCAAAGGAUGGGAUUGGGAUGAACUUUAAACUCAGGCAUCCAGGGUCUGAUAGUUCUGGUCGGUGGGGGCAGUGUAUAUAGGGUUACUCCCCAAGGGUGGGUCCAAAGGGCCUUGCCUUGGUGAGGUUCCACAUCAUCAAAACGUGUUAGUGUUUGACAUGUCUAAAUGUUAGAUUUAGAUAUGGCUAAGCUAUCUAAGGUGGGGUGCCCAUUAUAAUUUACAUUGUUGCAUUCUUAUGACAGUUUCCGACAGUUAAUAGGUCUAGAAUUUUUGUACAAGAGGUUACCUAUAAGA